CACGUAGUUAGCCGUGACUUUCUAAGUAAUUACCGUCAAAUAAAGGCCAGUUACUACCUCUAUCUUUCUUCACUACCAACAGAGCUUUACGAGCCGAAACCCUUCUUCACUCACGCGGCGUUGCUCCAUCAGACUUUCGCCCAUUGUGGAAGAUUCCCUACUGCUGCCUCCCGUAGGAGUUUGGGCCGUGUCUCAGUCCCAAUGUGGCCGAUCAGUCUCUCAACUCGGCUAUGCAUCAUUGCCUUGGUAAGCCGUUACCUUACCAACUAGCUAAUGCACCGCAGGUCCAUCCAAGAGUGAUAGCAGAACCAUCUUUCAAACUCUAGACAUGCGUCUAGUGUUGUUAUCCGGUAUUAGCAUCUGUUUCCAGGUGUUAUCCCAGUCUCUUGGGCAGGUUACCCACGUGUUACUCACCCGUCCGCCGCUCGCUUGUAUCUAGUUUCAUUUAGUGCAAGCACUAAAAUCAUCUAGGCAAGCUCGCUCGA
rnacentral:rRNA from 1 species